UGGGCGGUGGUCCACGUCGUCUAUGACUGCUAAUCAAGACAGUCUGAAAGUGGAAUCUAAUCUAGAUCUAAAUUUUUAUAUGAUGCAGUUCCAUGCCCUGGGCCCCCCUUACAUGGAAUUAUGGAUGUAUCACACUCACGAUAAUUGACAAAUUAAAUGACCUAUCAUGAAGGUAAAACAGUUUCUGGACAGUCUGACAGCAAAACCUUUUCUUUAAAAUCAAAUAUAAAACAUGCAACUAAGAAAUAAAAGUAAAUUCUUUUUCAUGAAGUCUGGAUUUGUCCUGUGGACUACAAAAAUUGUUGUCUCCAUCAUUGUGAAGCUCAAAAACUGAACAAACACAAAACAGACAUGGGAGGGCUCCAUUGUCAGACUACCCACCUAGGAUAAGGAAAACUCUGAAUAGAAACCUUUGCUGCCUUGUGGCUAUACCCAGACAUACUGGUAAGAAAGGCUUCGGGAAUCAACCCUGAGGAAAAGCUGGUA